GGCUCAUUGGUCUAGGUGUAAGAUUCUUGCUUAGGGUGCGAGAGGUCCCGGGUUUAAUUCCCGGACGAGCCC
rnacentral:tRNA from 1 species